UCAUGUAUAACCUUUUGCUCAAUUGAUUAUGUAAUUACAAUGUUUUUACCUUGAAAAUAAAAUAAUACAUACAUUUUUAAAAUAUGUAUCUCGGCAGCUUAAUGAGACUAUUUCUUCCUCUUUCCCUUUAUUUUUUCUUAAAAAAAAACUCUAAAGUCUAAACCAAAUUAAUAUAAAUAGAAAGCAAAAGGGAAAGGUGAGGCGUGAGACACGUAAACAAAAAAAAAGAAAUGAGUUUGAGAAAGACAACUUUGGUGUUGGUGUACAUUCUCUUGAUCUUUCAUCUUCAGCACACAUUUCAUGACUCUCCCUUUCCCAAGUUGAUUAACUUUGAAUACGAACACGAUAACAACUUUGACCAAGCUUUAAACACUCCAACCAGUGCAAGAUCUCCGCGUUCGGGUCUCUCUCGGCCACCGCCACAUUAGCCGUGAUCUGCAUCACUCCUCUGUACGAGCCGACGCGGCCGCGAACGCGAGCCACGGCUCCGAUUCUGAUUUGUGCGGCUUGUUUCCGCGCGGCACUUGCGAGCAGCAGAAUCGUGGCUGGAUCCCACCGGGAGAAGUAAGAAGACGUGAGUUGGUUGAGCCACAUGACGCACGUGACGCAGCCGGUGCCAUCGUCGACGCCGAACUUGAGAAACUUUGGGGUCAGAUCACGAGAGACGAUUGUGCCUACUAUCUCUACGCGUGAAACGCACGCUCCGCCAAGCAGAGAGAAAGAGUUGGAUUCUGUAGGUGACUGUGUCAGGCGUUGGAUGUCACGCGCCACGAGUUUUGCGUGUGUGCUUUGGAGGGAUCGAUCCAUGGCUGGGACUGGAGAGAAGACAAAAGAUGAACAUUAGCAUAACAAUGAAUAUUAGGGCAGGAAAUCGAAGUACUAGAAAGCUAUAUUGCGGGCAAGCGAUAUUAGGGAAUUGCUGAUUUUUUUCUAAUAAAAAAUCGGAUGAUGAAAAUAUAUUCUAUAACUUUAUUGUAAAGCAUACGUACUCAGAUUACUAAACUUUUAUUCAUUUUGUGGUAGUAUAGUCGCUUCCUACGGUGGAUUGUUAAUUUCCGGAACCAAUUAACUGUAGAAUCUUUCAGGGUUAUUUUCUCCUUUUUAGGUUGGACAUCAACGUUAUUAGGUGCUUAGUGCUUACUUUAACUUCUCAAAAAAUUAGAAGCUAG